AGAGUUUGAUCCUGGCUCAGGAUGAACGCUGGCGGCGUGCUUAACACAUGCAAGUCGAACGGGAAUUACUUUAUUGAAACUUCGGUCGAUAUGAUUUAAUUCUAGUGGCGGACGGGUGAGUAACGCGUGGGUAACCUGCCUUAUACAGGGGGAUAACAGUCAGAAAUGACUGCUAAUACCGCAUAAGCGCACAGAGCUGCAUGGCUCGGUGUGAAAAACUCCGGUGGUAUAAGAUGGACCCGCGUUGGAUUAGCUGGUUGGUGAGGUAACGGCCCACCAAGGCGACGAUCCAUAGCCGGCCUGAGAGGGUGAACGGCCACAUUGGGACUGAGACACGGCCCAGACUCCUACGGGAGGCAGCAGUGGGGAAUAUUGCACAAUGGGGGAAACCCUGAUGCAGCGACGCCGCGUGAAGGAAGAAGUAUCUCGGUAUGUAAACUUCUAUCAGCAGGGAAGAAUUAGGACGGUACCUGACUAAGAAGCUCCGGCUAACUACGUGCCAGCAGCCGCGGU
rnacentral:rRNA from 1 species